rnacentral:sRNA from 1 species
ACAUUUGUCAUCCUGUUCCUGUAAAACAGGAGUUUGUUUUUCUAAAAGUAUCUUAUCUGGAGUGUCAGCUAGAGGAGCAUCUGUGUCCUCACUUGUGGGCUUGUCCUCAGCAGUUAGGUCCUUGCAGAGGACCUUGAGCCUGCGUGCAGGGCUGCAGCCAGAGCCUAAGACCCAGGACAGAGUCAGAUCACAGGCACUAGGGGUGGAGGUCAUGUCAGGCAGAGUGGGCUGCAGUCAGAAGAGGAGCUAUAUGUCCCGCCUACGGUGAUUGUAAGCCAGGUCCAUGCCACCAAGAGCUGGAGCUGUGGAGUAGUACUUGGUCCCCAGACAAGCCCUUAGUCCGAGGUCUACAUUUCUUCUUAGUGUGGGUGGAAUAAUUGCUGAUGCUUGUGGUUGUUGAGAAUCCUCAGCUGCAGUUCCUUUAACAGUUGCUGUGGGAAG